AGAUGGCGGCGUCCAGUGAGGGGCAGGCGUUUGCUUCAGGGGUUGAAAAGAACUGGGGUACAGUAGUCCGUUCCCCCGAGGGGACCCCCCAGAAGGUCCGGCAGCUAAUAGAUGAAGGGAUUGCCCCGGAAGAGGGAGGCGCAGAAGCGAGGGAUACAUCUGCCACAUUCCAGUCAGUUAAUGGAUCACCCCAAGUAGAACAACCUCCAUUGGAGUCUACAAGCAAAGAAGCCUUCUUUAGCAGAGUAGAAACAUUUUCUUCCUUGAAAUGGGCAGGGAAGCCCCCUGAGCUGUCUCCACUUGUCUGUGCAAAAUAUGGUUGGGUCACAGUCGAGUGUGAUAUGCUCAAGUGUUCCAGCUGUCAAGCUUUUCUCUGUGCCAGUUUACAACCAGCUUUUGAUUUUGACAGAUAUAAGGAACGAUGUGCUGAGCUGAAGAAAUCCUUGUGUACUGCCCAUGAGAAGUUCUGUUUUUGGCCAGACAGCCCCUCUCCAGAUCGAUUUGGUAUGUUACCAUUGGAUGAGCCUGCUGUUCUUAUUAGUGAAUUCCUAGAUCGUUUUCAAAACCUUUGUCACUUGGACCUCCAGCUUCCUUCCCUGAGGCCAGAGGAUUUGAAAACUAUGUGCUUGACAGAAGACAAGAUCAGUCUUCUGCUACACCUGCUUGAAGAUGAACUUGAUCACGGAACUGAAGAGAGAAAAACUCCAAACAAAUUAGGCUCCGACAUCCAAGUCCACAUCACUGCCUGUGUUCUUGCUGUGUGUGGCUGGGCGUGUAGCUCUGCUUUGGAACCCAUGCAGCUCUCCCUGAUAACAUGUUCACAGUGUAUGCGGAAGGUGGGGCUCUGGGGCUUCCAGCAGAUUGAAUCAUCCAUGACUGACCUGGACACAUCAUUUGGCCUGACCAACUCCCCAGUUGCAGGCCCUGAGGGUCGUCCAGAACGCUUUCCUCUGGUGCCUGAAUCGCCUCGGAGGAUGAUGACUCGGAGCCAGGAUGCCACGUUUUCCCCAGGCUUAGAGCAGGUUGAAAAGAGCCCUAGUCCCAUUGUCUCCCGAACCCGGAGCUGGGACUCUUCUAGUCCUGUUGAUCGGCCUGAGCCGGAGGCAGCCAGCCCCACUACCAGAAGCCGCCCAGUGACCCGAAGCAUGGGAACAGGAGACUCUGCUGGCCUGGAAGUACCCUCUAGCCCUCUCCGGAAAGCCAAACGAGCUCGCCUCUGCUCUUCCAGCAGCUCAGACACAUCAUCUCGGAGCUUCUUUGAUCCCACCUCUCAGCACAGAGACUGGUGCCCUUGGGUGAAUAUCACACUUGGUAAAGAAUCCAGAGAGAAUGGUGGAACGGAGCUUGAUGCCAGCACCCCAGUAGAGCCGGGCUGGAAGGCAGUGCUGACCAUCCUUUUGGCCCAUAAACAGUCUAACCAGCCAGCUGAAACAGACUCCAUGAGUCUCUCUGAAAAAUCAAGAAAAGUAUUCCGAAUAUUCCGGCAGUGGGAAUCAUUAUGCUCAUCCUGAAGAUAUUCCAGCCCAUUCCUGGAGAGAACUGAAAUGAGAGUGACUUUUUGAAAAAUAAAGCCUGAAUUUCCUUUGGGUCAGCCGAUGCUGUUUUUCUCCAUUCUGGUUUAAUCAUAAGGAGCCCCUGCCAUUGUAGAGGCAGCUUAACCAACCCACCCUCAAGAAAGAAAGUGCUUAGAACAAUACCUGGCACAUGAUCUGACUGUCCUUUGAAUGGUCUUGAGAGUUUCCCAAGUCCUCUGGCUCCACAUUGACAAGCCUAUUUCAGGGGAAAUAUGUGUGUAUCUGGCUGUGUUCAUUUUCAUUUCUCUGGGAAGGUAAUCAUCUCAAGUUAUGAGAAUACACCUUCAGCACCUCCAGUGUAUGCUUUCUGCUGUUUCUUGUUUUCAGGGCGGAGGAUGGAAGCCAGAGCCUUGCAGAUGCUAGGCAAGCAUUCUACCACGGAGCCACACCUCCAGCCCUACAGCUUUCCAUUACUGGUUGUAGCUUCUCACAGCACUUAGUGUAUGUCAAGUCGUUCAUUCAUUCACCACAAAUUUCUUGAGCGCCUACUGCUGGGGAUACAACAGUGGGCAAAAUAGACACCUGCCCUCCAGAGAGUAUAACCUAGAGGACAAAGAUGGUCAUAGGGCUGGGGACAUAGCUCAGUUGGUAGAGUGCUUGCCUCGCAAACACAAGACGCUGGGUUCAAAUCCCCAGCACCACUAAAUAAAUAAACAAAUAAAUAAAGAUGGUCACAGGCCGUGAGACUGAUGUUCCUAACAAACCUGCAGAGUG